rnacentral:rRNA from 1 species
AACGUAGGUGGCAAGCGUUGUCCGGAGUUACUGGGUGUAAAGGGAGCGCAGGCGGAUUGGUAAGUUGAAUGUGAAAACUAUGGGCUCAACCCAUAGAUUGCGUUCAAAACUACUGAUCUUGAGUGAUGUAGAGGUAGGCGGAAUUCCCGGUGUAGCGGUGGAAUGCGUAGAUAUCGGGAGGAACACCAGUGGCGAAGGCGGCCUACUGGGCAUUUACUGACGCUGAGGCUCGAAAGUAUGGGGAGCAAACAGGAUUAGAUACCCUGGUAGU